GAACGCUGGCGGCAGGCCUAACACAUGCAAGUCGAACGGUAGCACAGGAGAGCUUGCUCUCUGGGUGACGAGUGGCGGACGGGUGAGUAAUGCAUGGGGAGCUGCCCAAUCGAGGGGGAUACCAGCUGGAAACGGCUGCUAAUACCGCAUACGCCCUGAGGGGGAAAGGUGGGGACCUUCGGGCCUACCGCGAUUGGAUGCACCCAUGUGGGAUUAGCUAGUUGGUGGGGUAAAGGCUCACCAAGCCGACGAUCUGUAGCUGGUCUGAGAGGACGACCAGCCACACUGGGACUGAGACACGGCCCAGGCUCCUACGGGAGGCAGCAGUGGGGAAUUUUGGACAAUGGGCGCAAGCCUGAUCCAGCAAUGCCGCGUGCAGGAAGAAGGCCUUCGGGUUGUAAACUGCUUUUGUACGGAACGAAACGGUCUGCCCUAAUACGGUGGGCUAAUGACGGUACCGUAAGAAUAAGCACCGGCUAACUACGUG
rnacentral:rRNA from 1 species